rnacentral:rRNA from 1 species
CAUGUCUUUUUGAUUAUAAUUUAAGGUCUAAUCUGCUCAAUGAAAAUUUAAAUAGCCGCAGUAUUUUGACUGUGCAAAGGUAGCGUGAUAAUUAGUCUCUUAAUUAGGGACUUGAAUGAAUGAUUGGACAAGAAAAUUUCUGUCUCUUAAAAAUUUAUUUUUGAAUUUUAUUUUUAAGUUAAAAUGCUUAAAUGCUUAUAAAAGACGAGAAGACCCCAUAGAGUUUUAUUUUUUUUAUUUUUUAGUAUAAUAUUAAAAAUCAAAAAAUUAAUUGGGGUGAUUAAAAGAUAAAUUAAACUCUUUCAAUUUAAAUCAUUGAUUUAUGAAUAAUAAUUCUAAUUUAUUAAGUUUAAAUUAAAUUACCUUGGGGAUAACAGCGUAAUUUCUUUUUAGAGUUCUUAUCAAAUAAGAAGAUUGCGACCUCGAUGUUGGAUUAAAAUUUAUUUUAGGUGAAGCCGCUUAAAAAUUAAGUCUGUUCGACUUUUAAAAUUUUACAUGAUCUGAGU